rnacentral:rRNA from 1 species
CACGUAGGGUGCGAGCGUGGUCCGGAAUUAUUGGGCGUAAAGAGCUCGUAGGCGGUGUGUCGCGUCGGACGUGCAAACCUGCAGCUUAACUGUGGGCUUGCGGUCGAUACGGGCAUCACUGGAGUUCGGCAGGGGAGACUGGAAUUCCUGGUGUAGCGGUGAAAUGCGCAGAUAUCAGGAGGAACACCGGUGGCGAAGGCGGGUCUCUGGGCCGAUACUGACGCUGAGGAGCGAAAGCGUGGGGAGCGAACAGG